rnacentral:lncRNA from 1 species
GGCAGGCCUUUUUUCGACGAGUGCCCUUUCCCUAUCCUCCAAUUAUCUCAGAAAAGAAGACUAAGCUCAGGCAAAUUGUAGUCUGCCAUGGACCCUCCUUAGUGACUUUGGUCUGGAAAGGGAAUAGGGCAAUAAAUAGAGCUUCGGAUCAGAAUUAGACCUUCUAUAGAUGGAAAUUCAGACUUCUAAAUAGGCCUGAGAAAGCCUAGACCAAAGGUGCCUAAUAGCCUAGCCAGACUCAUCGGGUAGGGAAUCCUAUCCUCAGCAAAUCCAUUAAGCAAGCCCAAGUCCAUGCAAGAAGGCCCGCUGGAUGUAUCCAAAUUCAAAGCCCAUAGAGACGAAGGCCAAAGCAUUGACUGAAGAAGGGGGCAAAAAGAUAUUCGCCUUUGACUUCUUCUCAGCCUACUGACUGCUACUCGACUAGAUGCUCCUAUUUUUUAUUCGUAGAUCGUAGAUUAAGAUGUUAUUAGGUAAGGAAAGUCAGUCCUUUCAUUCCUUUCUGAGAAUAGAUCCCCAAUAGCUGACAAAUGAGGAAUUCUUCCGCUAUGACCCUUAGGCGAGCUAAUCAGUCUUGCUUUGCCAAAAAAUCCCUCCUCACUCC